AGAGUUUGAUCCUGGCUCAGGAUGAACGCUAGCGAUAGGCUUAACACAUGCAAGUCGAGGGGCAGCAUGGUCUUAGCUUGCUAAGACUGAUGGCGACCGGCGCACGGGUGCGUAACGCGUAUGCAACUUGCCUCACAGAGGGGGAUAACCCGUCGAAAGACGGACUAAUACCGCGUACACUCUACGUUGGGCAUCCAAUGUAGAGGAAAUGAAAUUCGCUGUGAGAUAGGCAUGCGUCCCAUUAGCUAGUUGGUGAGGUAACGGCUCACCAAGGCGACGAUGGGUAGGGGAACUGAGAGGUUGAACCCCCACACUGGUACUGAGACACGGACCAGACUCCUACGGGAGGCAGCAGUGAGGAAUAUUGGUCAAUGGUCGGAAGACUGAACCAGCCAUGCCGCGUGCAGGAAGACGGCCUUAUGGGUUGUAAACUGCUUUUGUAAGGGAAGAAUAAGUCGUAUGUAUACGGCGAUGACGGUACUUUACGAAUAAGCAUCGGCUAACUCCGUGCCAGCAGCCGCGGUAAUACGGAGGAUGCGAGCGUUAUCCGGAUUUAUUGGGUUUAAAGGGUGCGUAGGCGGCCUGUUAAGUCAGCGGUGAAAUCUAGGAGCUUAACUCCUAAAUUGCCAUUGAUACUGGCGGGCUUGAGUGUAGAUGAGGUAGGCGGAAUGCGUGGUGUAGCGGUGGAAUGCAUAGAUAUCACGCAGAACUCCGAUUGCGAAGGCAGCUUACUAAGGUACAACUGACGCUGAAGCACGAAAGCGUGGGUAUCAAACAGGAUUAGAUACCCUGGUAGUCCACGCAGUAAACGAUGAUAACUGGGCGUAUGCGAUAUACAGUAUGCUCCUAAGCGAAAGCGUUAAGUUAUCCACCUGGGGAGUACGCCGGCAACGGUGAAACUCAAAGGAAUUGACGGGGGCCCG
rnacentral:rRNA from 1 species